GACGAACGCUGGCGGCGUGCUUAACACAUGCAAGUCGAGCGGAAAGGCCCUGCUUUUGUGGGGUGCUCGAGUGGCGAACGGGUGAGUAACACGUGAGUAACCUGCCCUUGACUUUGGGAUAGCUUCAGGAAACUGGGGCUAAUACCGGAUAGGAGCUCCUGCUGCAUGGUGGGGGUUGGAAAGUUUCGGCGGUUGGGGAUGGACUCGCGGCUUAUCAGCUUGUUGGUGGGGUAGUGGCUUACCAAGGCUUUGACGGGUAGCCGGCCUGAGAGGGUGACCGGCCACAAUGGGACUGAGAUACGGCCCAGACUCCUACGGGAGGCAGCAGUGGGGAAUAUUGCACAAUGGGCUGAAGCCUGAUGCAGCAACGCCGCGUGCGGGAUGACGGCCUUCGGGUUGUAAACCGCUUUCGCCUGUGACGAAGCGUGAGUGACGGUAAUGGGUAAAGAAGCACCGGCUAACUACGUG
rnacentral:rRNA from 1 species